UACAGCCACAUCACAUUGAAACAUUGGUUCCUAUUUGAUCACUAGAGUUAAGCAACAUAGAGGCUGGUCAGUACCUAGAUGGGUGACUGCUUGGGAAUACCAGGUGCUGUAAGC